CAAGGAUGGAUGGAACAAAGAUCAAAAGUCGAACCAUCAAAUUCCUGGUGCUGCUGGGGGCUGCCCUGAGGAAGGAGAGGAUUGCCCAGAGUGCAGAAAGGCAAGCAGCUACCUACAGCUCUGUGUUAUGUGUCCCCAACACCACUAUGCUGUAGCACAGCUGUAUGUGUGGAAUAUUCCUUACAAGGCAGCAUGAACAGUGGUGGGUGUCCUCACAUUUCCAGUGCUGCAAGAUAAAUCAGAAAAUGGGCAAAUGUGUGCAGAAUCUAUGAAAUCUGUCUGAAGGUCAAAAAAAGAAGAGAGGCUAAGGUAUGAAGUCCUGUAUUUUCUGUCAGAGUUUGAAUUUUUUAAUGCCCAUAUAGUACUAAAAAUAUUGUGAUAAUAUAUACUGUUGAGUGGAAAAAAAAAAACCAACCAACCCUAAAUACUUAUAGUAACAGGAAUACUUAACAUAGUUCCCAAGCGACCAGAGCCUGAUGAGUAUUUUAAACCCUGAAGCCUCAGGAAUUCUACUAAAGUACUGCUCUGCUCCCAAGGAAAAGGGGAACAAAGUCAGAAAUGUGUGCUUGUCUCAGAGUAGAUUUUGAAAAU